GAGUUUUCUUGUGUAUAUGUAAGUACUUUCACCCAUCACUCAACCUCUUCAUCAACAUCAAUGAUCAUAAAGGGAAAUAUAUAGAUUAAAAUACUUGAGACACGUUUCUGUUCAGCAAUCAAGGAAAAUGAAACAAACAAACAAAAAAGGAAAGAAGGAGGGAAAAUACAGCACAAGAAGAACACCCACUCAUUUACAGUAACUAUUUUUUUCCAAGUGAUACAUAAAAUCUCUCAUGUGUUA